UGUAGGAGCGAGCCUGCUCGCGAUUGCAUUCGGUCAGGCGAUGACGAUGUUGAAUGUGCCGCCCUCUUCGCGAGCAGGCUCGCUCCCACA
rnacentral:misc_RNA from 1 species